UAGGGAAUCUUCCGCAAUGGACGCAAGUCUGACGGAGCAACGCCGCGUGAGUGAAGAAGGAUUUCGGUUCGUAAAACUCUGUUGUUAGAGAAGAACAGCGCAUAGAGUAACUGUUAUGCGUGUGACGGUAUCUAACCAGAAAGCCACGGCUAACUACGUGCCAGCAGCCGCGGUAAUACGUAGGUGGCAAGCGUUGUCCGGAUUUAUUGGGCGUAAAGCGAGCGCAGGCGGUCAAUUAAGUCUGAUGUGAAAGCCCCCGGCUCAACCGGGGAGGGUCAUUGGCAACUGGUUGACUUGAGUGCAGAAGAGGAGAGUGGAAUUCCAUGUGUAACGGUGAAAUGCGUAGAUAUAUGGAGGAACACCAGUGGCGAAGGCGACUCUCUGGUCUGUAACUGACGCUGAGGCUCGAAAGCGUGGGUAGCAAACAGG
rnacentral:rRNA from 1 species